AAUACCCUCUGAUCAGCUUGUAUUCCAUAGGAUCACAAAGGAGCCAUGGGAGUCAUUCCUCAAAGAGGACUCAAGUGGAAUCUUACAAUGUGUACAGAGGCCAACUGUAGAAAGGGACUUUAUGGUGUUUGGAAGAAGAGGCAGCCCCAAGCCCUCCUUUUAUUCCAAGCAGUGUUCUCCUUCCUGUACCUGUUAACAUGUGGAGUUCAAUCAGGGAACAUGGGGAAAGCUCUGAGGAAUCCUGUCUGGUCCUUGUUUCAAAUCACAGUAAAGCAGAUCUCUCCUAUUUCAACCCGGUUCACCUGGGAGCUGACUAAACCUUUAUGAUCAUACAAGAGGAGCUCUUUCCAGAGGGCUGGUGCUCCUUAAUGUGGAUUACAACUUUCUAUACCAAGAAAUAACUAGAUGCUGAAGACACACAUUGAGAGGAUACCCAUACUAUCUCAGAACUCAAGGAAACAUCUUGGACCUAAGCACUGACGUAACAGAGUCAGUGCACAACUGACUUCAUCUAAGCAUAGAAUAUGUACAGAAUAUGAAUUCCUGUCAGUACAAAAACAAAAGGCUGCCUAAAUUAAAAGCAUUUUCCUUUAUAUUACAUGAAUCUAGUGCAAUCUGAAUUUUUUUCCACACUACAAAUAUGCUGACAGUUGUACUGAAAAAGGGAAGAAGACUUAAAAAAAAAAAAAAAAGGAACAAAAAUUAAAGACUAUAAAAAUGGAAGUGUUUCUUAUAAUCAAAUACCUGCUACAUGAACAGGAGGUAAUGAGUAAGUAAAUAGUUUUUGUCUCUUGUUUUAAAUUAACGAGAAAUCAUUUAUAUAUUUCUUUUGGCCACCA